CCCUUAGAUGUUCUGGGCCGCACGCGUGCUACACUGAGUGGAUCAGCGGGUCAGGUUGCGCGAAAGUGUUUCCUAAUCUUUAAAUCCGCUCGUGAUGGGGAUUGACGGUUGCAAUUUUCCGUCAUGAACGAGGAAUACCUUGUAAGCGCGGGUCAUCAUCCCGCGCUGAAUACGUCCCUGCCCUUUGUACACACCGCCCGUCGCUCCUACCGAUUGAAUGAUCCGAUGAAUAUCAUGGAUUGAGGAUGUAAGCAGGUUCGCCUGUCUUCAUCUUCGAGAAGUGAAGUAAAUCUUAUCAUUUAGAGGAAGGAGAAGUCGUAACA
rnacentral:rRNA from 1 species